UUAAGUGACGAUAGCCUAGGAGAUACACCUGUACCCAUGCCGAACACAGCAGUUAAGCCCUAGAACGCCUGAAGUAGUUGGGGG
rnacentral:rRNA from 1 species